UUUUUUGUCACUGCAUUUCGCACUAUGUACGUAUUUAAAUUUAAAUAUAGACUAUUUACCUGUUUUGAAAGUCUAAAUAAAACAGAAAUAGCAUAUCCGGAUGUUAAUAAUGUCAACGUCAACAAGAAAAUUGAGAUAGAAAGGUUUUUGUCAUUGAGUAAUGAAUAUAUCCGAGAAAGAACCUAUGUCUAUGGAAGAUAAUGAGAAAUACACUAUCACAAAAACUGAAGAAUAUAGGUCACUUACAGUUGAACACUGUAACAAAGCAGGAAAUUCGGGGACCAGUAUAACAGAUCACAAAGAAUCAAUAAUGGCUGGGCAAGGAAGCGAAACCGUCUUAUCUAAAACAAUUAAAAAAAACUUUGUUAGAAUAUGUGAACUUCUCGAAGCUUUUCCUCUAAGUGACUAUCUUCUGCAACAUGAAGUCAUUACAAUGGGGGAACACUCUGAACUUCGACAGAAAUGGAAGUAUAGUCACUCAGAAGCAAAUGACGAUCUGUUGAAAAAACUCUGUAAGCGAGAAUUUGAUCCAAAAAUUCUAGAGACAGCUUUAAAAGAGACCAAACAAACCGGUGUUCUAAAAAUGCUGUUCGUUAUGUAUUAAAGAAUAUUUAGCACGG